rnacentral:sRNA from 1 species
AUGGGCGUCCAGCUGCAGUUGUUGCUGGACCGGCCCUGGCUGCCUUGAGAGAGUCCCUUCGGAUUUGCGCCAUGCGCGGCGGGGAGAACCGGCCUCCUGCUCGAGUUCAGAGCUCAUCUGAGGAAUUGGAAUUGAGACACCAAAGCCUAGACGCGUUUCCUGGACGACGGCUUCCCGGCAGGGGCAUCCAGCCAGCGGCCAAGAUGUCGUCAGUGGGGAAGGUGACCCAGGUUCCGAAUGGGAAAGCCUACCAGCAGAUCUUCCAGGCUGAGGUGCAGCUGGUCCACUCCCUGGCGGCCACCAGGAAGCGGGCUGCAGAGCGUUCUGUGACCCUGAAGAGUGGCAGGAUACCCAUGAUGAAGAAGGUGGAGACUCCUGAAGGGGAGGUGAUGUCUCCCCGACAGCAGAAGUGGAUGCACAGCCUCCCCAACGACUGGAUCAUGGAAAACCCUGUUCUCCACAGGGAAAAGGAAAGAGCCAAGAGGGAAAAAGCCCAAGAGAGUGAGAACACCAUCGCUGCCCGAGAAGUGCGGGGUCUCAUGGAUACUAUAGUUCCUGAGAAGAUAAGCACCAGCACCUUUCAAAGGCGAGCAGAACACAAGAGGAGGAGCUACGAGAGCGCUCUGGCCAGCUUUCAGGAGGAGAUUGCGCAGGUGGGAAAGGAAAUGGAACCUCUCAUCGUGGACACAGGGGGACUUUUUUUGAAGAAGCUGACUGAGUCUGAUGAAGAAAUGAACCGUCUCUUCCUAAAGGUGGAAAAUGACACCAACCUUGAGGACUACACCAUCCAAGCCCUGCUGGAGCUGUGGGAUAAGGUGGCCGGGCGGUUACUGCUCCGGAAGCAGGAGAUUAAGGAGCUGGAUGAGGCCCUGCACUCGGUGGAGUUCUCCCGAGCCGAUAAACUAAAAAGCGUGUUGAAGAAAUAUGCAGAAGUCAUAGAGAAAACUUCCUACCUCAUGCGGCCCGACGUGUACAGGCUGAUAAAUGAAGAAGCCAUGGUCAUGAACUAUGCCCUGCUGGGCAACCGGAAGGCUCUCGCCCAGCUGUUUGUCAACCUGAUGGAGUCCACCCUGCAGCAGGAGCUGGACAGCCGCCACCGCUGGCAAGGCUUGGUGGACACCUGGAAGGCUCUCAAGAAGGAGGCCCUGCUGCAGAGUUUCAGUGAGUUCAUGGCCAGUGAGAGUAUCCAUACUCCCCCGGCUGUGACGAAGGAGCUAGAGGUCAUGCUGAAGACCCAGAACGUCCUGCAGCAAAGGCGGCUGAAGCACCUCUGCACCAUCUGUGACCUCCUGCCCCCCAAUUACAGCAAAACUCAGCUGACUGAGUGGCAUUCUUCCCUCAACUCCCUGAACAAGGAGCUAGACACCUACCACGUGGACUGCAUGAUGCGGAUCCGCCUGCUGUAUGAGAAGACGUGGCAGGAGUGCCUGAUGCAUGUGCAGAAUUGUAAGAAGCAGCUGCUGGACUGGAAAGCCUUCACUGAGGAGGAGGCAGAGACCCUGGUGAACCAGUUCUUCUUCCAGAUGGUGGGAGCGCUCCAGGGCAAAGUGGAGGAGGACCUGGAGCUCUUGGACAAAUCCUUCGAGACUCUGGCAGAUCAGACAGAGUGGCAGAGUUCGCACCUCUUCAAGUAUUUCCAGGAGGCGGUACAACUGUGGGAGGCACACCAGAGCGAGCUGUUGGUGCAGGAGCUGGAGCUGGAGAAGAGGAUGGAGCAGCACCGGCAGAAGCACAGCCUGGAGAGCCAGGUGCAGGAGGCCCACCUCGAUAGGCUCUUGGACCAACUGAGGCAGCAAAGUGACAAAGAAACACUGGCGUUUCACCUGGAAAAGGUCAAAGAUUAUCUGAAGAACAUGAAAUCCAGGUAUGAAUGUUUUCACACCCUCCUGACAAAGGAAGUGAUGGAGUACCCAGCGAUCAUGCUGAAAGAACUCAACUCCUACAGCUCUGCCCUCAGCCAAUACUUCUUUGUGCAUGAAAUCUUUGAACAGAACUUGGCUGGAGAAGUCAUUUUCAAAUUCAGGCAACCAGAAGCACAUGAAAAACCCUCCCAGAAGAGAGUGAAAAAACUGAGGAAGAAGCAAGGGUCUAAAGAGGACAUGAGCAGAAGUGAGGAAAGCAUAAGUAGUGGGACAAGUACUGCCAGGUCAGUAGAAGAGGUGGAAGAAGAAAACGAUCAAGAAAUGGAGUCCUUCAUAACUGAAGAGGUGCUGGGGCAGCAGAAAAAAUCUCCACUGCAUGCUAAGAUGGAUGAGUCCAAAGAAGGCUCUAUUCAGGGACUGGAAGAAAUGCAGGUUGAAAGAGAGGGCUCCUUAAACCCAUCCCUGAAUGAGGAGAAUGUGAAGGGUCAAGGAGAAAAGAAGGAGGAGUCAGAGGAGGAAGAUGAGAAGGAGGAAGAGGAGAAGGAGGAGGAGAAGCUGGAGGAAGAGAAGGAGGAGAAGGAGGCACAGGAAGAGCAAGAGAGUUUAUCUGUGGGUGAGGAAGAAGACAAGGAAGAGGGUCUAGAGGAGAUAUGCUAUGAGGACAUGGAGUCCUUCACAAUCUCCAGUGGAAACACUUAUUUUGUCUUUGUACCCCUGGAAGAAGAAGAGCAUUGCAGGAAGUCCCAUUCCACCUUCUCAGCCAUGUUCAUCAACGACACUUCCAGUGCCAAGUUCAUAGAACAAGUGACAAUUCCAUCGAGACUAAUUUUAGAAAUGAAGAAACAGUGAGUAAAAAACUAUUUUAUUCUCAUCCUGAUGUUCUGAGUUUUGUAAACAAGGUGAAAUAUUAAAAAAAAAAAAGGA